GCACAAGCGGUGGAGCAUGUGGUUCAAUUCGACGCAACGCGAAGAACCUUACCCAGGCUUGAACAGCGAGUGACCAUCUCCGAAAGGGGACUUCCGCAAGGACACUCGUAGAGGUGCUGCAUGGCUGUCGUCAGCUCGUGUCGUGAGAUGUUGGGUUAAGUCCCGCAACGAGCGCAACCCUUGUCUGCUGUUGCCAUCAGGUAAUGCUGGGCACUCUGCAGAGACUGCCGGUGAUAAACCGGAGGAAGGUGGGGAUGACGUCAAGUCAGCAUGGCCUUUAUGUCUGGGGCUACACACGUGCUACAAUGGCCGGUACAAACCGUCGCAAAACCGUAAGGUCGAGCUAAUCGGAGAAAGCCGGUCUCAGUUCGGAUAGCAGGCUGCAACUCGCCUGCUUGAAGUUGGAAUCGCUAGUAAUCGCGGAUCAGCACGCCGCGGUGAAUACGUUCCCGGGC
rnacentral:rRNA from 1 species